rnacentral:rRNA from 1 species
CAGCAGCCACGGGAAUACGAAGGGGGCUAGCGUUGUUCGGAUUUACUGGGCGUAAAGGGCGCGUAGGCGGACUGAUAAGUCAGGGGUGAAAUCCCAAGGCUCAACCUUGGAACUGCCUUUGAUACUGUUUGUCUUGAGAUCGAGAGAGGUAAGUGGAACUGCGAGUGUAGAGGUGAAAUUCGUAGAUAUUCGCAAGAGCACCAGUGGCGAAGGCGGCUUACUGGCUCGAAACUGACGCUGAGGCGCGAAAGCGUGGGGAGCAAACAGGAUUAGAUACCCGAGUAGUCCCUGUCUCUUAUAC